AUUGAACGCUGGCGGCAUGCCUUACACAUGCAAGUCGAACGGCAGCACGGGAGCAAUCCUGGUGGCGAGUGGCGAACGGGUGAGUAAUGUAUCGGAACGUGCCCAGUCGUUGGGGAUAACGUAGCGAAAGCUACGCAAAUACCGCAUACGACCUGUGGAUGAAAGCGGUGGACCGGAAAGCCUCGAGCGCGCGGAGCGGCCGAUAUCGGAUUAGGUAGUUGGUGGGGUAAAGGCCUACCAAGCCGACGAUCUGUAGCUGGUCUGAGAGGACGACCAGCCACACUGGGACUGAGACACGGCCCAGACUCCUACGGGAGGCAGCAGUGGGGAAUUUUGGACAAUGGGCGCAAGCCUGAUCCAGCAAUGCCGCGUGCAGGAUGAAGGCCUUCGGGUUGUAAACUGCUUUUGUACGGAGCGAAAAGGCUCUCUCUAAUGCAGGGGGCUCAUGACGAUACCGUAAGAAUAAGCACCGGCUAACUACGUGCCAGCCGCCGCUGUAA
rnacentral:rRNA from 1 species